AUACCUUUCUCGGCCUUUUGGCUAAGAUCAAGUGUAGUAUCUGUUCUUAUCAGUUUAAUAUCUGAUACGUGGGCUACUAGUCCACAUGAUAUUAAAUUAAUUUUUUAAAGGGGAGAGUCUAUCACAGUAGCUUGCUAUUGAGGCUCUCUUGCGUCGCCUUAGCGCUGCACUGCAGCUUUGGCCUGGCGCGCCCCAC